GUUGGCUGUGAAAUGUAUUUACAUUCUUGCUGCCUAUAAGGUGAGAUUAGCCCUCGUGUCCUGUUAGUCAGGAAUAUCUUCAGUGAUUGCUGUAGAGCCAGCCCUCGCUAGGCUUGACUUCCUUUGAGUAGCAGCAGGAAUGAAUUAAGCAAGUACAGCCAAAGAUAUCACAUGAAAGACUUGAAAUACCAGAGCUGAAGAAAGCUCUGUUCUGUGUGUGUCUCUGUGUGUGUGUGUGCAUAGCUGCAAAAAAAACCUGCUAAAGGUUCAGUUUUUCACAAUGGACGAACGCUGAAGGGGGAAAACUUCUUAAAAGAAAUAGAGGAAAUGGACUAUGCCUGGGAAAAAAAAAUUACUGCAGUAGUAAUGGAAAGGACAGCAUAGCAGUUGGUAUAUAUUGACCUUCUUUGCUGUGUCAACUCUCCCUUCUGCCCCCAGUGAAAUAGCCCUCUAACACAGCAGGAUGCAGCAAAGACUUCGGAGGGAAACCUCACUAUGAUCCAUUUGUAAGGACUAAGUACAUUUGAGAACAUCUGGUGCCACCUCAUCAGAUGAAACAUUAAACACAAAAUGCUUACUCAAAGAACAUCAAAGUGUUUUAUCUUUGUUGUCUUACACUCAGAAUUUACUGUUUCUGAUGGAUUUAGGCAGUUUAUAAACCUCAAUAGCAAGGCAGGUCCAUUCCUAUCUCUGUCCAUAGCAGUCGGGUUGUGGUUUCAGUUGUAUGAAGUGGAAAGUAGUAGCUGUAAAGUCUGUGCUUGAGGACAUCAUCAGAGCUGAAAGGGUGGUCAGUCUAACCUACAGGAAGUUUUUGGCUGACA